ACGUGAGGUUUCCGAGGCAGCGGAUGCAGAGGGAGCUGAAGUUUGCGGUUCCCGAUUGCUGUAAUGUUUCUCCAGUAUUACCUCAACGAGGAGGGAGAUCGGGUCUACACGCUGAAGAAGUUCGACCCCACGGGACAGCAGACCUGCUCGGCCCACCCCGCCCGGUUCUCCCCGGACGACAAGUACUCGCGGCACCGCAUUACCGUCAAGAAGCGUUUCAGGGUGCUCAUGACCCAGCAGCCGCGCCCCGUGCUCUGAGGGCCCCCCGAUUUCACGUCAGGCCCCCCCGGGGUGAGGACCCCCCAUUUCAUGUUAGCACCCCGGGAAUGGGGGCGCCACCCUAGCCCCUGAGAGCGCUGUCCCCAGAGGACCCCAUUACUGCCUUCACCCUUUACAGGGAGCAAGUUUGAAUUUUUUUGUGAUUUGAAUUAUUGUCGGGUUAUUAAAUACAAGAUGAUUUGAAGAGCUCCAUUUGUGUGUUGUUGGAGGAAAGCGUUAGUAGUUUUUGCUGAAGGAAGAAAGGCGGGGCAGGAGCACCCCGAAAUAAGACGGUCGGGGAACGUCGCGGAGUGACUCGCACACGGGACCCACGCGCGCCCUGAGAAUCGAGUAGCUGAGAAAACCCGAUCCAUCCGGAGAUGAUCUGCGUCUCUGAUAAAGGGGGUUCCAGUCCUGACUCCCUGGUUCCGACCACGGCCGAGAUGCUGCGUGGUCCACUGGUCAGCGAGGCGCAAGGACCCAUUCACGCGUUUCAUUCAAGACCUAUGAAAAUGUCUAACUAUUAAAAACUAGGAGAGAGUUCCCGAGACUGACUGGUAGGGCAACGCUGGGCAUUCAAGUCUGAAGUGACAGUCGGCUCCCUUGGUGGAUUGCAGGGUGACUAUGCAGUGGGCACCCUUGCUGGCCGGCGCCCUUCCUCGUCCGGCUGGCCUGGACUAUCUACACCUGCCGAGCAGCUGAGGCGGCAGGCGCACCGCGCUGGUUGAGAUGGGGUCUCCGAUGGUUUGCCUGGGCUGGCCCCAAACCGAGGUUCUCCCUAACUCUGCCUCCCUAGCAGCUGGGAUUACAGCUGCUGGCCACCGCCAGGCCGCUAUAGCAAAUUUUAAGAGGACGAACAAG